CGCAUUCAAGGCCUCACGAAACACCAAGGAUUCGAAUCCCUACAUGAACGAAGCUCCGAAUCAAACAAUUCCUUAUUUAUGUAAAGAAACUUGUAUAUAAUUGUCUUGGUAAACACAACUCAGCGUGUUAUUGUCUUGUUAGUGAUCCACAAAAUGUGAUAUUUCUUCCCUGACGUAAAUAAUCGUGUCUUAACGAAUGAUGUUUCAAAUGGAGAUGCUUCGGUUUAUUGUGAGUGAGUGAGUGGGUCAGUGAGGCCCCUCGAGGCUUCACUGAACUUUAGAAUCAGGCCAGCAGAGGUAUAUGCAGUCACGCCGACUCAGUGCUGACCUAACCUACAACCGGGCUGGUUCACGUCACUCCUGGGACCAACUGACUUCAGUGGCACGGUAUUCGCUGUGGGUGGUGGAGGUUUCAAGGACCCGGUGUGGAUGAUGAAGGCUUCAGGUUCGACUCCCAAACUGACGUGUUGAACAGGACGAGGCACAGCGGUUAAAUUCUCAAAGGUUUCCAGUGACACGAUACCCGAUGUGUAUGAUGGCUUCAAAUACUCGUGGAUGACGGAGGCUUCAGAAUUGACUCCUUGAUCGUGUUGAAUAGUACGAGGCACGGAACAGGAUUCACAAAGGCCUGUAGAAAAUUAAACCACAUCGAGGGAGGAUGAGGACCACAACUUGGUAUCCAGACGAGGCACCAAGCAUACUGAAAAAAGUUUGGAUCUACCCAACAUACAAGAAAGCUGUAUUAUGUAGACGUGAGUGUUUUGAUACGUCCACAUAGAAAGGACAAAUUAUAACAGUGUAUUCAAGUUUAUCUACCGACUGCUGAAGGGAUGGUGUAAGAGUGAGGGAAGGACUUGCUGUGGUGUAGGUUGGAGGGAAGACUUGGUGUGUGGUGCAGGAGUGAGGGAAGGACUUGCUGUGGUGUAG